rnacentral:rRNA from 1 species
UGGGGAAUAUUGGACAAUGGGCGAAAGCCUGAUCCAGCCAUGCCGCGUGUGUGAAGAAGGUCUUCGGAUUGUAAAGCACUUUAAGUUGGGAGGAAGGGCAGUAAAUUAAUACUUUGCUGUUUUGACGUUACCGACAGAAUAAGCACCGGCUAACUCUGUGCCAGCAGCCGCGGUAAUACAGAGGGUGCAAGCGUUAAUCGGAAUUACUGGGCGUAAAGCGCGCGUAGGUGGUUUGUUAAGUUGGAUGUGAAAUCCCCGGGCUCAACCUGGGAACUGCAUCCAAAACUGGCAAGCUAGAGUAUGGUAGAGGGUGGUGGAAUUUCCUGUGUAGCGGUGAAAUGCGUAGAUAUAGGAAGGAACACCAGUGGCGAAGGCGACCACCUGGACUGAUACUGACACUGAGGUGCGAAAGCGUGGGGAGCAAACAGGAUUAGAUACCCGCGUAGUCCCUGAGCGGGCUGGCAAGGCGCAU